rnacentral:misc_RNA from 1 species
CCAAAUGACGCUCGCUUUUUGUGAGCUGAAGCUCUCUGGGCCCGGUUCAAUGCCAGCCCGAGUGCGAACCACCUGUGAACGGUAAACAAUCUUUCGCUUCCGCGGUCGGACUGGCUCAGCCCGGGCCGUAAUCCCGCGGGUGGCACCCAACCCGUCAAACUGUACGAACAAAUCAGUCUGAAACUGGUCUCUGACCGAAAACGAAUGAAAUUA